rnacentral:rRNA from 1 species
UACGGGGGGAGCAAGCGUUGUUCGGAUUUAUUGGGCGUAAAGGGCGCGUAGGCGGCCACCGCAAGUCGACUGUGAAAUCUCCGGGCUUAACCCGGAAAGGUCAGCCGAUACUGCGGGCUAGAGUGCAGAAGGGGCAACUGGAAUUCUCGGUGUAGCGGCGAAAUGCGUAGAUAUCGAGAGGAACACCUGCGGCGAAGGCGGCAUCCUGGACUGGUCCUGACACUCAUGAGCGAAAGCGUGGGGAGCGAUCCGG